UCGAGGGGUAACAGGAGUAGCUUGCUACUUGCUGACGACCGGCGCACGGGUGCGUAACGCGUAUACAAUCUACCUUAUACUGGAGAAUAGCUCAGAGAAAUUUGGAUUAAUGCUCCAUAACAUUUCAAAACCGCAUGGUUUUGAUCUUAAAGUUCAGGCGGUAUAAGAUGAGUAUGCGUGAUAUUAGUUAGUUGGUAAGGUAACGGCUUACCAAGACUACGAUAUCUAGGGGGUCUGAGAGGACUAUCCCCCACACUGGUACUGAGACACGGACCAGACUCCUACGGGAGGCAGCAGUGAGGAAUAUUGGGCAAUGGAGGCAACUCUGACCCAGCCAUGCCGCGUGAAGGAAGAAGGCCUUAUGGGUUGUAAACUUCUUUUAUUUGGGAAGAAACCUUUCUACGUGUAGAGAGCUGACGGUACCAAACGAAUAAGGACCGGCUAACUCCGUGCCAGCAGCCGCGGUAAUACGGAGGGUCCAAGCGUUAUCCGGAAUCAUUGGGUUUAAAGGGUGCGCAGGCGGUUUAUUAAGUCAGUGGUGAAAUCUCGGGGCUCAACUCCGAACUGCCAUUGAUACUGAUAAACUUGAGUUCAGUU
rnacentral:rRNA from 1 species